AGGCAACUGAGGAAGCUCAACAUGUAAAAAAGUUGAUACAUGACUAUUUUGCUUCUUUCAUCAAAGUUGGAGAUAAGGCAACUGAGGAAGCUCAACAUCUAAAAAAGUUGAUAUAAGACUAUAUUGCUUCUUUCAUCGAAGUAGGAGAUAAGAUGAAUCCUGAUCGUAGUUGGAUGUAUAAUAGAAACAAUCCUGGUCGAGCGGG